AUUGAACGCUGGCGGCAGGCCUAACACAUGCAAGUCGAACGAGUGGCGGACGGGUGAGUAAUGUCUGGGAAACUGCCCGAUGGAGGGGGAUAACUCCUGGAAACGGUAGCUAAUACCGCAUCCCAUCGUCUUUUGCCCGAUGUGCUUAGCUCGUAGGUGGGGUAACGGCUCACCUAGGCGACGAUCCCUAGCUGUUCUGAGAGGAUGACCAGCCACACUGGAACUGAGACACGGUCCAGACUCCUACGGUAGGCAGCAGUGGGGAAUAUUGCACAAUGGGCGCAAGCCUGAUGCAGCCAUGCCGCGUGUAUGAAGAAGGCCUUCGGGUUGUAAAGUACUUUCAGCGAGGAGGCGGGACGAGAAGAAGAAGCACCGGCUAACUCCGUGCCAGCAGACGCGGUAAGUC
rnacentral:rRNA from 1 species